GUUGAGCUAACCCGUACUAAUUGCCCGUGAGACUUAACCAUACAACACCCAAGGUGUUUGGUGUCGUUAAGCACAAGUUGAUAACCUUUACCAAAGCAAGUAGGUCGCGCUUUUAGCGCGACAAGAGUGGCAUCACAAUCAGCCUUUCAGUUGUUACAACAGUUUUUGUCUGGCGGCCAUAGCGGUAUGGCACCACCUGGCUCCAUUCCGAACCCAGCAGUGAAACAUACCAGCGCCGAUGGUAGUGUGGGGCUUCCCCAUGUGAGAGUAGGACACCGCCAGAC
rnacentral:rRNA from 1 species